AGAGUGAACGCUGGCGGCAGGCCUAACACAUGCAAGUCGAACGGCAGCACAGGAGAGCUUGCUCUCUGGGUGGCGAGUGGCGGACGGGUGAGGAAUACGUCGGAAUCUGCCUAUUUGUGGGGGAUAACGUAGGGAAACUUACGCUAAUACCGCAUACGACCUACGGGUGAAAGCGGAGGACCUUCGGGCUUCGCGCAGAUAGAUGAGCCGACGUCGGAUUAGCUUAGGUUGGGACGGGUAAACGGCCCAACGAAGGCGACGAUCCGUAGCUGGUCUGAGAGGAUGAUCAGCCACACUGGAACUGAGACACGGUCCAGACCUCCGUACGGGAGCAGCAGGUGGGAAUGUUGGACAAGUGGGCACAAGCCUAGACUCCGAGCCAGUCGCCGCGUGUGUAGAAGAACGGUCCCGUUAGGUUAGUAAAGCCGUUAACGUUUU
rnacentral:rRNA from 1 species